rnacentral:rRNA from 1 species
AUUGAACGCUGGCGGCAGGCCUAACACAUGCAAGUCGAACGAGUGGCGGACGGGUGAGUAAUGUCUGGGAAACUGCCUUAUGGCGGGGGAUAACUACUGGAAACGGUAGCUAAUACCGCAUACCAUCUGAUGUGCCCAGAUGGGAUUAGCUUGUUGGUGGGGUAACUGCUCACCAAGCCGACGAUCCAUAUCUGGUCUGAGAGGAUGACCAGCAAAAAUGGAACGGAGAAACGGUCCAGAAUCCUACGGGAGGGAGCAGUGGGGAAGAUUGCACAAUGGGGGCAAGCCUGAUGCAGCCAUGCCGCGUGUAUGAAGAAGGCCUGCGGGGUGUAAAGUACUUUCAGCGGGGAGGCGUUACCCGCAGAAGAAGCACCGGCUAACUCCGUGCCAGCAGCCGCGGUAAUAC